rnacentral:rRNA from 1 species
GGCUCAGAUUGAACGCUGGCGGCAUGCCUUACACAUGCAAGUCGAACGGUAACAGGUCUUCGGAUGCUGACGAGUGGCGAACGGGUGAGUAAUACAUCGGAACGUGCCCGAGAGUGGGGGAUAACGAGGCGAAAGCUUUGCUAAUACCGCAUACGAUCUCAGGAUGAAAGCAGGGGACCGCAAGGCCUUGCGCUCACGGAGCGGCCGAUGGCAGAUUAGGUAGUUGGUGGGAUAAAAGCUUACCAAGCCGACGAUCUGUAGCUGGUCUGAGAGGACGACCAGCCACACUGGGACUGAGACACGGCCCAGACUCCUACGGGAGGCAGCAGUGAGGAAUAUUGGUCAAUGGGCGAGAGCCUGAACCAGCCAAGUCGCGUGAAGGAAUGAAGGUUCUAUGGAUUGUAAACUUCUUUUGUCCGAGGGUAAAAAAGGUCACGUGUGACUUCUUGCAAGUAUCGGACGAAUAAGCAUCGGCUAACUCCGUGCCAGCAGCUGC